UUUAAUGGCCGCAGUAUUUUGACUGUGCAAAGGUAGCAUAAUCAUUAGUUUUUUAAUUAGGAACUGGAAUGAAGGGUUGAACGAAAAAAUAACUGUCUCAUAAUUAAAUUUUUAGAAUUUUAUUUUUAAGUUAAAAAGCUUAAAUAAUUUUAAAAGACGAGAAGACCCUAUAGAGUUUUAUAUACAAUUUUAUUAAAAUAUUAUUAAGAAUACUUAAAAUUUUACUUUUUAUUAUAUUUGAUUGGGGUGAUUAAAAAAUUUGAUUAACUUUUUAUUUUGAUUUGACAUUAAUUUAUGAAUUAUUGAUCCAUUAAUUAUGAUUAUAAGAUUAAAUUACCUUAGGGAUAACAGCGUAAUUUCUUUUUAGAGUUCUUAUCAAUAAAGAAGUUUGCGACCUCGAUGUUGGAUUAAAAUAUAAUUUUGGUGUAGAAGCUAAAAUUUUAGGUCUGUUCGACCUUUAAAAUUUUACAUGAUCUGAGUUUAAACCGGUGUAAGCCAGGUUGGUUUCUAUCUUUAAAUUGAUAAAAUAUUUUAGUACGAAAGGACCAAAUAAUUAAAAAAUUUUUUAUACAAUGAAUAUUAUUAAUAA
rnacentral:rRNA from 1 species